UGGGGAAUAUUGCACAAUGGGGGAAACCCUGAUGCAGCGACGCCGCGUGAACGAAGAAGGUAUUCGUAUCGUAAAGUUCUGUCCUAUGGGAAGAUAAUGACAGUACCAUAGAAGAAAGCUCCGGCUAAAUACGUGCCAGCAGCCGCGGUAAUACGUAUGGAGCGAGCGUUGUCCGGAAUUAUUGGGCGUAAAGGGUACGCAGGCGGUUUAAUAAGUCGAAUGUUAAAGAUCGGGGCUCAACCCCGCAAAGCAUUGGAAACUGAUAAACUUGAGUAGUGGAGAGGAAAGUGGAAUUCCUAGUGUAGAGGUGAAAUACGUAGAUAUUAGGAGGAAUACCAGUAGCGAAGGCGACUUUCUGGACACAAACUGACGCUGAGGUACGAAAGCGUGGGGAGCAAACAGG
rnacentral:rRNA from 1 species